AUUGAACGCUGGCGGCAGGCCUAACACAUGCAAGUCGAGCGAGCGGCGGACGGGUGAGUAAUGUAUGGGGACUGCCCGAUAGAGGGGGAUAACUACUGGAAACGGUGGCUAAUAACGCAUACUAUAGUAUAACCCAUAUGGGAUUAGAUAGUAGGUGGGGUAAAGGCUCACCUAGGCGACGAUCGCUAGCUGUUCUGAGAGGAGGAUCAGCCACACGGGGACGGAGACACGGCCCAGACUCCUACGGAGGCAGCAGUGGGGAAUAUUGCACAAGGGGCGAAAGCCUGAUGCAGCCAUGCCGCGUGUAGGAAGAAGGCCUUAGGGUUGUAAAGUACUUUCAGCGGGGAGGCGUUACCCGCAGAAGAAGCACCGGCUAACUCCGUGCCAGCAGCCGCGGUAAUUC
rnacentral:rRNA from 1 species